UUAAAAUGUUUUCCCUAGAUUUGCCGUAAACAUCAUUCAAACCCAUGAGAGACUGUAUAAUUCUCUCAUCUUCCAAGGAUUUUUCAACCUUUUGUUUCCCUGAACAUAUACAAGCACAACGACAUUUCACAUAACAAAGUAGAGAAUCCAUCUCAUCCCAUAAACAUUUGCGUUUUGUGAAAUAACUUGCUAUGUCAUUUUUUCCUUGAACUAGAGAAGAAUUUUUUUUUUUAAUUUGUUAUCUUUUGUAUUGAAACGGACUGUUAUGAUUUCUUUCAAACGAUUGUAAUUAGUAAUCCUAGAAGUCCGUGAGUAAUGUGAUAUCCGUCUUGGGUAGAGGAUUUGUUAAACUUCC
rnacentral:lncRNA from 1 species